CUUAAUCUGGUGGGCACAAUCUAAUCAGCUGCUAACAAAUAUAAAGCAGGCAGAAAAACGUGAAAAGGAGAGACAGGCCCAGCCUUCCAGGCUACAUCUUUCUCUGUGCUGGAUGCUUCCUGCCCUCGAACAUCAGACUCCAGGUUAUUCAAUUUUGGGAUUCAAACUAGCUCUCCUUUCUCCUCAGCUUGUGGACAGCCGAUUGUGGGACCUUGUGAUCAUAACCCGAGGCAGGGAGGAGGCCCCCAGGCAAUGCUUGUGUCUUGACUUCACAGCUUCUGAAGUGUGCCUACCUAAUGAACAGCCCAAGGUGGGCCCUUGGACAACCCCCAAGAAUGGUGGAGUGAUGGAGCUGAAGUGUCCUCAAAGGUGUCAAGUCCAGCCCCACUUGGUACUGAGGAGGAUUAUUACGCUUGCUUCUACCACAUGGGAGGUCAUGAGGGUCAAAUAAAAACAUAUAUGUGAAAAUUUCU